rnacentral:rRNA from 1 species
AUCCCUACGGGGCGCAGCAGUGAGGAAUAUUGGUCGAUGGACGCAAGUCUGAACCAGCCAUGCCGCGUGCAGGAAGACGGCUCUAUGAGUUGUAAACUGCUUUUGUACGAGGGUAAAUCCCGAUACGUGUAUCGGGUUGAAAGUAUCGUACGAAUAAGGAUCGGCUAACUCCGUGCCAGCAGCCGCGGUAAUACGGAGGAUUCAAGCGUUAUCCGGAUUUAUUGGGUUUAAAGGGGGCGUAGGCGGUUCGAUAAGAUAGAGGUGAAAUCCCGGGGCACAACCCUGGCACUGUCUCUGAUACGGUG